CACAAGCUGGCAGGUUUUUGGGUCGCCCCGGUCCUCAUGGAGAGGACCAGCCACGUCUUAAGGUAAAAACAGGUGCGUCCUGCAGAUCCCUUGAGCCUCGUACGGCAAUAAAGGUCGUCAUUACAAUGGAUCGUGCCAUUGUAGUAAGUGAAAUGAGAACUACGGUGCCACGCGAAUGGGAUCCACACGUGAUGCGUAGCUAGCUGCCCGUAGGACAACCGCACAAACUUGUGGAAUUUGAUUGUCUAAUUUCCUCAUUUCUAAUUGUAAGGCUGCAUGCAAGGAGCUUGCAUGAACAUAACCAUAACCAAACAUAACCAAUGGUCACCUUGCACAGUCCGCAGGAUUUGAGGGGUUUAAAAGAAAUCUUUAUGACACACCUGCAUCUCAAUCACUGAGAUCAAUGUGUUUAAGUUUUAAAGGUUGUGUUGCUUAGAAAGACCAGCUGACGUCACACUGGGGACUACAAUGAACAACAAAGACCGUUUGAUCAAUUGAGGUUUGGAUCUUUCUCAAUAAAGGAAGAUCUUAAUGGAUUAAAAGCCAGUUAGGUCUGGGGAAUCACUUUUUCCUGAAAAGUCUGCACAAGAAUUAGUUUUGUACUAAAUAAACCUAAACAACAGCUUCUCUACAAAACGAGCCUUUGGUUGUGUGUUUUUCACCUUUAUUUGACAAACGUCUGGAGCCCUUUUUCUGCAGGAAUCCGUCAGAACGUUUCAAGGAAUUGAGGCGUCCGACUGAAACGCUCAGCUGUUCUGAAGCCUUUCAUGUCUUCUCUGUGAGCCCCCCCCCCUCCCCCCGCUCAGCUUCAGGGAGAUAUCUCUGCAUUGUCUUUAAUUACUCUGCUUUGAUGCAAAGUUCAUAGUUUAAUCAACGACUGCUCAGUCCUUGAGGCAGCACAGAAACCCAAAGAGAAAUGUCUUCGCAGUCUUUCUUCUCUGCUAAUUUCAGGUCUCUAACGGUAUCGGAGCUCCCCAUGUUACAUACUCUAAUCCAUGCUCCUCUUCUUCUCCAAGUCACCCUCAUAAAUAAGGUCAGCGCUGCGAAAGAAACAGAGAGGAUGUCAGGUGGAGAAUCUCGUCAAAGGAAUUAGACCUGGAUAUUUUAGUAUGUUCGUAUGAAUUCUUUCUCUGUGAAGGGUCAAGUACCCUUCAGUUUGUUCUGAUUUCUCUGAAAGGUCGAAGACGAGAGGAGAGAAAGAGAAGUUCUUAAUAUGUUAUAAAAGAAGAAGGGAAAUUUCACUCGCAAGUGGAGAAGAAUGAAAAGGUUAAUUGGUCUAUUUCCCAGCUGUAGUUUUUGAGGGAUUUAUAAGAUGUCCUGGGUUCAUUCUCACUUUUCCUCAUUUGGUUUCAGACAUUUGCUCAGGCGUGUGCACCAGAGCUCACACUUUUCCCGCGGACAUACCCGCUGUGUUCACCAGAAUCUCUCAAAGUUGAAGAAAUUACACUAUUAAAAAAAGCUCAAUAGAGUACAGUGGAGCUUUGUUUACUUCUGUUGAAAAAAUCUGAGCACUGAUAAAAAUGACAACUAUCAUCUCAAAAAUAAAAACAACUGGAAUGGUAUAUGAGCAAAGUAAAAAACUUAACCAUUUAAAGAGGACUUUAAUGUGCCUAAAAAGCCCAUAUUAACAUUGCUCCACCACCAUGUUUGACAGUUGGUCUGCUUGUUUUUUGUUGUUUUUGUUAUUUUGUGCCACUAAAUACCUGAACUCAUGUCCAAAAGCAUUAGUUUAAGUUUUUACAAAGAAAAAAUAAUAAUAAAUAAAUAGCUGGA
ensembl:lncRNA